rnacentral:rRNA from 1 species
CCNGCNGUCGACGAUUCCUACGGGAGGCAGCAGUGGGGAAUAUUGCACAAUGGGCGCAAGCCUGAUGCAGCAACGCCGCGUGCGGGAUGAAGGCCCUAGGGUUGUAAACCGCUUUCAGCAGGGAAGAAAAUGACGGUACCUGCAGAAGAAGGUGCGGCCAACUACGUGCCAGCAGCCGCGGUGACACGUAGGCACCAAGCGUUGUCCGGAUUUAUUGGGCGUAAAGAGCUCGUAGGCGGUUCAGUUAGUCGGGUGUGAAAACUCUGGGCUCAACCCAGAGACGCCACCCGAUACUGCUGUGACUAGAGUACGGUAGGGGAGUGGGGAAUUCCUGGUGUAGCGGUGAAAUGCGCAGAUAUCAGGAGGAACACCAGUGGCGAAGGCGCCACUCUGGGCCGUAACUGACGCUGAGGAGCGAAAGCAUGGGUAGCAAACAGGAUUAGAUACCCUGGUAGUCCAUGCCGUAAACGUUGGGCACUAGGUGUGGGUCUCAACCAACGAGAUCCGCGCCGUCGCUAACGCAUUAAGUGCCCCGCCUGGGGAGUACGGUCGCAAGACUAAAACUCAAAGGAAUUGACGG